rnacentral:rRNA from 1 species
UCGAGAAUAUUCGACAAUGGGCGAAAGCCUGAUCGAGCGACACCGCGUGCAGGAAGAAGGCCUUCGGGUUGUAAACUGCGGUAGUAGAGGAAGAAAUUAUUGACUUUACUCUACGGAAAGAGGUGGGUAACUACGUGCCAGCACCAGCGGUAAUACGUAGACCUCAAGCGUUAUCCGGAUUUAUUGGGCGUAAAGAGCAUGUAGGGGGUUUAGUGCGUCUUCUGUUAAAGAUCACCGCCUAACGGUGAAAGCGCAGAGGAUACGACUAGACUAGAGGAGGUUAGAGGUGCAUGGAGCGCACGGUGUAGGGGUGAAAUCCGUUGAUAUCGUGCGAAACACCAAAGGCGAAGGCAAUGCACUGGGACUUUCCUGACCCUGAGAUGCGAAAGCGUGGGGAGCAAAAAGG